GAGUCAGCCGGGUGAUCGCGGCGCUUCGGCGUCGAGGAAAGUCCGGACUCCACAGGGCAAGGUGGUGGGUAACACCCACCCGGGGCGACCCGCGGGAAAGUGCCACAGAGAACAGACCGCCGCGAGCGAUCGCGGUAAGGGUGAAACGGCGGUGUAAGAGACCACCAGCGUCGCAGGUGACUGCGACGGCUCGGCAAACCCCACCUGGAGCAAGGUCAAGAGGGCCGGCAUGCCGGCCUGCGCAGGCGAGCGGCCCGCUCGAUGCCUGCGGGUGGACCGCAACAGGCCGCUGGCAACAGCGGUCGCAGAUGGAUGAUCACCGGCCAGCCUCGGCUGGUCACAGGAUCCGGCUUACAGGCUGACUCGUC
rnacentral:RNase_P_RNA from 1 species